rnacentral:tmRNA from 1 species
GGGGAUGAAAUAGUUUCGACAGUGUUGGUUAGGUUAGAAUACGCACGUAGUAGUAGGCGCUACUAUAAAAACCAAAUCGUUUAAUAAACGCAAACAAUAAUAAUGUAGCCGUUGCUGCCUAGUCAGCCGGCCGUUGACCUACUUGCACCGAAAGGGUAGCCAUCAACGUCAUAAUUUCGGUGAACGGACGCGUUCGAUUUCUCUAAAACGUGUCGGCAUUUAGAGAAUAGUUUGGUACAAGUCGUUAGCAGACUUCACCAAGCGAAAUAGAUUGCUAACUAAACGUGUAGGGUAUUCAGCAGAUUCAAUAUUGGACAUGGGUGCAACUCCCAUCAUCUCCACCA